CCUACGGGGUGCUGCAGUGGGGAAUAUUGGACAAUGGGCGAAAGCCUGAUCCAGCCAUGCCGCGUGUGUGAAGAAGGCCUUCGGGUUGUAAAGCACUUUCAGUGGGGAAGAAAGCCUUGGGGCUAAUACCCUCGAGGAAGGACAUCACCCACAGAAGAAGCACCGGCUAACUCCGUGCCAGCAGCCGCGGUAAUACGGAGGGUGUGAGCGUUAAUCGGAAUUACUGGGCGUAAAGCGCGCGUAGGCGGUCUGAUAAGCCGGUUGUGAAAGCCCCGGGCUCAACCUGGGAACGGCAUCCGGAACUGUCAGGCUAGAGUGCAGGAGAGGAAGGUAGAAUUCCCGGUGUAGCGGUGAAAUGCGUAGAGAUCGGGAGGAAUACCAGUGGCGAAGGCGGCCUUCUGGACUGACACUGACGCUGAGGUGCGAAAGCGUGGGUAGCAAACAGGAUUAGAUACCCUGGUAGUC
rnacentral:rRNA from 1 species